rnacentral:lncRNA from 1 species
CCGGUAUCAAUAUGUUAAAAUUUUAAUCUAAAUAAAAAAUUUUAUUAUAAAUUUAAAUUAAAAAAGUUUAAUCGUAAAUUAAAUUUAAUUUUAUAUCAAAUUUAAAUUAUUUAUCAGUUGUGAUCAAUUAAAAACGAACGGUUAUGAUCAAUCUGUUAAAAGUUUAAUUUAUAUCGAGUGAUCAAUUAAAAACAAACAGUUAUGAUCAAUUAAAAACGAACGGUUAUGAUCAAUUUAUUAAAAAAUAGCAUUCCUAUCUAUAUUUGUACUAUAUAUAAAAGCAUAUAAGAAUAACAGAAGAAAGAAAGAAUAUUUUCUACGAACGAUUAUGAUCAAUUUGUAAAAAAAAAAAAUCUCAAAUA